rnacentral:rRNA from 1 species
UGGGGAAUAUUGCACAAUGGGCGCAAGCCUGAUGCAGCCAUGCCGCGUGUGUGAAGAAGGCCUUCGGGUUGUAAAGCACUUUCAGCGGGGAGGAAGGCGUUAAGGUUAAUAACCUUGGCGAUUGACGUUACCCGCAGAAGAAGCACCGGCUAACUCCGUGCCAGCAGCCGCGGUAAUACGGAGGGUGCAAGCGUUAAUCGGAAUUACUGGGCGUAAAGCGCACGCAGGCGGUCUGUCAAGUCGGAUGUGAAAUCCCCGGGCUCAACCUGGGAACUGCAUUCGAAACUGGAAGGCUAGAGUCUUGUAGAGGGGGGUAGAAUUCCAGGUGUAGCGGUGAAAUGCGUAGAGAUCUGGAGGAAUACCGGUGGCGAAGGCGGCCCCCUGGACAAAGACUGACGCUCAGGUGCGAAAGCGUGGGGAGCAAACGGG